UGAAUACGAGAUGCUACGGCGUCGAAGCAGUGUAUGUCAGACUUCCAAGAAAAGCUCGCAAUGUCAUAAAUAAAGAAUGCCUGUACCAUAACCGACACAGGUGGGUAGGUAGAGUAUACUAAGGGGCGCGAGAUAACUCUCUCUAAGGAACUCGGCAAAAUAACUCCGUAACUUCGGGAGAAGGAGUGCCUUCUUUAAGAAGGUUGCAAUAACAAGAUCCAAGCAACUGUUUAUCAAAAACACAGGUCUCCGCUAAGUCGUAAGACGAUGUAUGGGGGCUGACGCCUGCCCAGUGCCAGAAGGUUAAAGAAGUUGGUUAGCUUUUGCGAAGCUGAUGACUGAAGCCCUGGUGAACGGCGGCCGUAACUAUAACGGUCCUAAGGUACCGAAAUUCCUUGUCGGGUAAGUUCCGACCCGCACGAAAGGCGUAAUGAUUUGGAUACUGUCUCGGAGAGGGACUCGGUGAAAUAGACUUGUCUGUGAAGAUGCGGACUACCUGCACCAGGACAGAAAGACCCUAUGAAGCUUUACUGUAACUUGAAAUUGAAAUUGGACUUUAUUUGCGCAGUAUAGGUGGAAGGCGUUGAAAGUAAUCUUGCGGGAUUAGUGGAGCCAUCAGUGAGAUACCACUCCUAUAAUGUUAGAUUUCUAACUUUGGAUCAUGAUCUGGUCAAAGAACAGUUUCAGGCGGGCAGUUUGACUGGGGCGGUCGCCUCCCAAAUGGUAACGGAGGCGUACAAAGGUUUCCUCUGAACGGGUAGAAAUCGUAUCUAGAGUGUAAAGGCAUAAGGAAGCUUGACUGUGAGACCUACAAGUCGAGCAGGGACGAAAGUCGGUCUUAGUGAUCUGACGGUGCUGAGUGGAAAGGCCGUCACUCAACGGAUAAAAGUUACUCUAAGGAUAACAGGCUGAUCUCCCCCAAGAGUUCACAUCGACGGGGAGGUUUGGCACCUCGAUGUCGGCUCAUCGCAUCCUGGGGCGGUAGUACGUCCCAAGGGUUGGGCUGUUCGCCCAUGAAAGCGGUACGCGAGCUGGGUUCAGAACGUCGUGAGACAGUUCGGUCCAUAUCCGGUGUAGGCGUUAGAAUAUUGAGAGGAGCCUUCUUUAGUACGAGAGGACCGAGAAGGACAUACCUCUGGUGUACCAGUUAUCGUGCCAACGGUAAACGCUGGGUAGCUAUGUAUGGAGAGGAUAACCGCUGAAAGCAUCUAAGUGGGAAGCCCACCUCAAGAUGAGUAUUCUC
rnacentral:rRNA from 1 species